AUUGAACGCUGGCGGCAUGCCUUACACAUGCAAGUCGAACGGCAGCACGGGAGCAAUCCUGGUGGCGAGUGGCGAACGGGUGAGUAAUGUAUCGGAACGUACCUUUCAGUGGGGGAUAACGUAGCGAAAGUUACGCUAAUACCGCAUAUUCUGUGAGCAGGAAAGCAGGGGAUCGCAAGACCUUGCGCUGAUUGAGCGGCCGAUAUCAGAUUAGCUAGUUGGUGAGGUAAAGGCUCACCAAGGCGACGAUCUGUAGCGGGUCUGAGAGGAUGAUCCGCCACACUGGAACUGAGACACGGUCCAGACUCCUACGGGAGGCAGCAGUGGGGAAUUUUGGACAAUGGGCGCAAGCCUGAUCCAGCCAUGCCGCGUGAGUGAAGAAGGCCUUCGGUUGU
rnacentral:rRNA from 1 species